UACGUAGGGGGCAAGCGUUGUCCGGAAUCAUUGGGCGUAAAGAGCGUGUAGGCGGCUCGGUAAGUCCGCUCUGAAAGCCCGGGGCUCAACCCCGGGAGGCGGGCGGAUACUGUCGGGCUAGAGUCCGGAAGAGGCGAGUGGAAUUCCUGGUGUAGCGGUGAAAUGCGCAGAUAUCAGGAGGAACACCAAUGGCGAAGGCAGCUCGCUGGGACGGUACUGACGCUGAGAUGCGAAAGCGUGGGGAGCAAACAGG
rnacentral:rRNA from 1 species